AUAAUGGGUCAGCGACUUAUAUUCUGUAGCAAGGUUAACCGAAUAGGGGAGCCGAAGGGAAACCGAGUCUUAACUGGGCGUUAAGUUGCAGGGUAUAGACCCGAAACCCGGUGAUCUAGCCAUGGGCAGGUUGAAGGUUGGGUAACACUAACUGGAGGACCGAACCGACUAAUGUUGAAAAAUUAGCGGAUGACUUGUGGCUGGGGGUGAAAGGCCAAUCAAACCGGGAGAUAGCUGGUUCUCCCCGAAAGCUAUUUAGGUAGCGCCUCGUGAAUUCAUCUCCGGGGGUAGAGCACUGUUUCGGCAAGGGGGUCAUCCCGACUUACCAACCCGAUGCAAACUGCGAAUACCGGAGAAUGUUAUCACGGGAGACACACGGCGGGUGCUAACGUCCGUCGUGAAGAGGGAAACAACCCAGACCGCCAGCUAAGGUCCCAAAGUCAUGGUUAAGUGGGAAACGAUGUGGGAAGGCCCAGACAGCCAGGAUGUUGGCUUAGAAGCAGCCAUCAUUUAAAGAAAGCGUAAUAGCUCACUGGUCGAGUCGGCCUGCGCGGAAGAUGUAACGGGGCUAAACCAUGCACCGAAGCUGCGGCAGCGACGCUUAUGCGUUGUUGGGUAGGGGAGCGUUCUGUAAGCCUGCGAAGGUGUGCUGUGAGGCAUGCUGGAGGUAUCAGAAGUGCGAAUGCUGACAUAAGUAACGAUAAAGCGGGUGAAAAGCCCGCUCGCCGGAAGACCAAG
rnacentral:rRNA from 1 species